UCCAAACAAUAAGCAAGCUAGGAUGAUAAUUUAAAUCUAAUGAAACAAAAUAGAGAAAACAAAGGGAGAAAGAGAGUUGGAUGGACUUUUUUUCCAAUUCAUUUCUUCGCAACUGAUUCAAAAUGGGCGAGCUACAGAAGCAGGUUAAGGAUAGAGCCAAAGAUCUCAAGGCCUUCAUGCAAUAUGGCUGGAAGGUCGUCGGUGCUUGCAAGAAAGGAUGGUACAAAAUGCGAAGCAAUUUAAAAAUAUAACUUGAUCAAAUCACGAUGAAGAUGAUAACAGUGACGAUGUAAAUUUAAGGUUAGUAUACUCGAAUCCUCAUAUGUACUUCUAAUUCUGAUUAGUUAACAAGAUUAGGAUUAUAAUAAUUAAGUAUAUAUGAUAGCUGGUUAAUACAACAUAAUAUUUAUCCAAUAAUCACCUAUUUGUAUUGCAUGUACCAAAUAUAGUUGCAGGCAGUUAAUCUAUUGAAUUUUCUUGCAAACAUGAUGGAAAUCAAUCUAGCUCUUAUUAAAAUUAUGUUUUGGAUCUAUAUACUUUGCAUGCGAUGGAAACAAAGGUUUUUCCUUCACCUAUAUUUUCUCAAUAUACUCAUAAAUCACCAUUCACAUCACAAGAUGGUAUGGAUUUGAAUUAUGAAAAUGGUCUAAUGUCAUCAUCAGUGCAGUAGGUAGCUGUGAACCUCACCCGCAGAGGAAUCAGGAGAGAUAAAAUUAUGGUGUGGGCGGCAACAAGCUUCAGAGUUAGCUAGGCAUUCAAAUGUUAAGAGGUCAUUGUGCGAUGCAUGUGGUGAUAUUUUAAAGUCUAAUCCUAUAUUUGAUCAUCAAGCCGAUGACGUACAUGCAGGACAAAAGUCAUGUAUGAAGUCCUUCUGUAUUUUGUAAAGUUGUAUCUAUAUCUAGAAACAUGGUAGUAGCUGCUCAUGUGUUGAUAAUGUGCAUAUGUGAAUAUUGAUGAUAACUGUCUCAAUGGAUGAUGUAUGUGUAUGAAUGAACCAUCCUUUUGUACUAUCAAUAUCACCAUCCUUAACCUCCAAAAUUAUGCGAGCUUCUUUUUUUUUUCUUUAAACUUAGUCUGAUGAUAUAUAUAUAUAUAUAGUCACCAUCGAGCUUUACAAUUUCUUCGUCUAGAUUUUAAAGAAGUUUUG
rnacentral:lncRNA from 1 species